rnacentral:rRNA from 1 species
ACGCUCGACACCUACGGGAGGCAGCAGUUAGGAAUAUUCGUCAAUGGAGGAAACUCUGAACGAGCAAUGCCGCGUGAGCGAUGAAGGCCCUAUGGGUCGUAAAGCUCUGUUGUAAAGGAAGAAUACUUGAUAUAGGAAAUGAUAUCAAGCUGACGGUACUUUACCAGAAAGCCCCGGCUAACUACGUGCAAGCAGCCGCGGUAAUCUGAGCGGGCUGGCAAGGC